CCAGGUAGAACUGGCCAAAGCAAGUUAUUCUCCUCUACCUGAAUUGCGCCACCAUUACUUUCAUUGGGGACAUCAUUUUGCACAAUUUGAUCAUUCUGCACAAAUUGUUCGUUCAGCUCAAAUUGCUCAUUCAGCUCAAAUUGCACAUUCUGCUGACCACCCAUUGAGACUGGUGAGCCGUAGCCAUCUGGAGCAUACUCUCCCACUUGAUCUGAAAAAAGGCGAAAAGGAUCGGAGUCGGACAUCACGAGUCAGGAAACAAUAGUCCCUUUACAGCUCUUAGAGUGAACAGAACACUGUAAUUGAGAAGAAAUGGAGACC
rnacentral:misc_RNA from 1 species